CUCGCAUUAGUUCAAUGGCUCAGAACCUUCCGUUUUCACCGGAAAGAUAUCAGUUCAAUUCUGAUAUGCGAUA
rnacentral:tRNA from 1 species